CCCUCCGACGCUCAAGUCAGGGAGGGGGCAAAUAGUGUAGAGAGGAGAAGAAUAGUGUUUGUAGGGUGCGUAAUUUUACCCAACCCCCCCCCCACCUGAGGGGCCAAGGUUUCCUUUUAUAGGCGGGGGUCGGUUUACCUGUGAUGUAACGGGGCGAGGCCGUAGUACGGCUCGGCAUGUUGUUCAGGUCGGCGCACGAUCAGGUGAAUCAUUGCGUUGAUGUCGGCGGUGAGGUCGUCGUACGACCUGGGCUUGCACGCUAUCAAACGAAUUAUUGCAUUGGUGUCGGAGGUAUGGCCGAGAUCAGAGACUUAUCAUGGUUGACUAGACUCUGCUGGGCUAACUUGCCGUGGAGAGCUGAGAGUCCGUAGAUGACAGGAGCCAUGCGCAUUAAAUGUGGAGUAAGCCGGAGAUCCGCAUUAAUUGUGGAG
rnacentral:lncRNA from 1 species